AUGUAUAGCAAUAGCUACUUGCAUCAUUGUAAAUAUCAUGCAAGAUCGACUAUGUCGAAUAAAAUUCUAGGUAGAAUUAUGAUAAUGACAUUGUCUGCCUAUGUGUCUUGACCAAAUUACGUGCCAGCAGUCGCGGUAAUACGUAGAAGACUAGUGUUAUUCAUGUUUAAUCGGUUUAAAGGGUACCUAGACGGUAAAUCAAGCCUAAAAUGAAAUGAAUGAAGGGACUAAUUUACUAGAGUUACUUAUGAGGGGGUAUUAAAGUACUGCUGGUGUAGAGAUGAAAUUCUGUCAUACCUCUUUUCAAUAGAAAAAUAAUGGCACAGGUAUAGGCGAAAGCAUCCCCUUAUGUGAUAACUGACGUUGAGGGACGAAGGCUUUGUGUAGCGAACAGGAUUAGAUACCCCAGUAGUCAAAGCAGAAAAUGAUGAAUGUCAUAGAUUAGAUAUAUAAGUUUAUUCUAUAAAUGAAAGUGUAAGCAUUCCACCUCAAGAGUAAUUUGGCAACAUUGGAACUGAAAUCAUUAGACCGUUUCUGAAACCAGUAGUGAAGUAUGUUGUUUAAUUUGAUGAUCCGCAAAAAACCUUACCACAAUUUGAAUAUUUAUAUCUUUUAUUGUUUUUCUUUUUAACUUUAUUCUAAUUUUCUACUUAA
rnacentral:rRNA from 1 species